CCUCUCCCCCCGCCGCGGCGCCGCCUCUUGUGAGCUGCAUGUUUGGGAAAGAGAGAACAUAGGGAAGGCCUACCAUACACUUGACCACCUCUGCUCAGAAGUGACCCACAUCACCUCAUUCAUGUUCUGGUGUCCAAGAAGGAGGCAAGAAAAGAAGAGUAAUGAGCACAAAGAAGCCCUGGCGGAAGGAUGCCUUGGAGGAGCCCGUGUUAUGUCAAAUGAUUGUCUGCAACACUGAGUGUCCCCAGUCAUGGAGGGUACCUGAACACCAGAGCUAAAGGAGCCUAUUGAAACAAUCACUACAUGGCAGCCUGUGGAACAUGCAGCUGGGCAGGAGAGAUGGAGAACAGAAGCAAUCAGGCACAGAUUACAUAUAUCAAAUUCAACAAAGUUCAGAUAUAUGAGGGAACUUCAAAAGUUCAUUAAAAAUGGAAUUAGAAGAUAAAAAUAAAAAGUGGAAAGUAUUUCUCAACAUAAGUUCCAUCGAGUUCAAGACACUUUGAACCCAAGAAGACCUUCUACUGACGAUCACAUUCAAACUCUAAAUGUCUAGUGACUAAGAGACUAAUCACAUGGGGCUGCUUAGAUUUAUCAAGGAGGACAGGAGUGCCAAAACUCUAAGUUGUUUUUUGUAGGAUGUAAGAACAAAGGCAUCCCAUGUGUCUCGCGAAAUGAGUGAAAGUCAUGACCCAGUUCUUCCUCCUACUUUAAAAAAAUGUGACUGAAGAGAAAGCCAGAUAUGUUCCAGGACAGACCAGCUGACUAACUCUUACUGUCAACAUACACUGUGCAAUUCCAAGACACAAGGGCAACUGAUAAAGAAGAUUAGCUUGGUUUUCCAGAAAUAAGUUCUGUUCUGUUCAAUCUACUUGCUCAAUCUCCAUUCUCUCAUUCAUGUGGAAUAACGAGAUCUGCAAUAAACACCACCAGGCAAGUCUCUGAGGAUUACUGAGUUAUUUCAGAGAUUUUCUAAUCUUCCACUCUGAACUUUUAUAAAAUGAUUAUCAGAAACUGAUUCAGCAGUUGGAAGAAUAAGAAAUAGAUUCUAUUGUAAUCAUUUCCUGCAAGUAAUAAUUUCUCACACAUUAUCAUACCAAAGUCUCUGUUCUUCUUUAAGUAGAGAAAGUCAUUGAGGAAGUAGAUCACUUCUAAAAAAUUAAACUUGUCUCUGGGUCUGUAUAAUAUAUUAUAACGUUACUGAAUGAUUGCUCUUGGAAUUUCCAAUAUUUUGUGUCCUUAACUUGAAUUUUCCCUAUAGGUUGAAAAGUCAGGUUCUGGAAUUGUCCUGUCUGGAUUAAAAUACUGGUUCCAUCACUGAGAAGCUGUGUGACCUGGGGAAAAUUACUUAAUCUCUCUGCGUUUCAGUUUUCUGAUCUGUAAAAUGAAGUCAGUGAUGGUAAGAAAAUGAGAAAAAUGCAUGCAAACUUAGCAUACCAUUAGAAUGAUGAAUGCUAACAAUUAUCAUCAUGUCAGGGCCUCUACAUUAGUUUAGCAUUUACUUUCCUCUGACUAUCUGUACUUUGUUGAAUAAAAA